rnacentral:rRNA from 1 species
AACGAACGCUGGCGGCAUGCCUAACACAUGCAAGUCGAACGAGACCUUCGGGUCUAGUGGCGCACGGGUGCGUAACGCGUGGGAAUCUGCCCUUGGGUUCGGAAUAACAGUUGGAAACGACUGCUAAUACCGGAUGAUGACGUAAGUCCAAAGAUUUAUCGCCCAAGGAUGAGCCCGCGUAGGAUUAGCUAGUUGGUGGGGUAAAGGCUCACCAAGGCGACGAUCCUUAGCUGGUCUGAGAGGAUGAUCAGCCACACUGGGACUGAGACACGGCCCAGACUCCUACGGGAGGCAGCAGUGGGGAAUAUUGGACAAUGGGCGAAAGCCUGAUCCAGCAAUGCCGCGUGAGUGAUGAAGGCCUUAGGGUUGUAAAGCUCUUUUACCCGGGAUGAUAAUGACAGUACCGGGAGAAUAAGCUCCGGCUAACUCCGUG